CUUGAAACUCCUGCUUUCAGAGGAAACUGCAGAGUUGGAGCUUGAAAAGUUGCACUCUACUUGCAAAGAAUGGGGCCUUUUCCAGUUGGUGAAUCAUGGAGUCAGCUCUUCAUUGCUGGAAAAUAUGAGGAACGAGAUUGAAGAAUUUUAUAAUCUUCCAUUAGAGGAGAAAAUGAAAUACAAGAUAAGGCAAGGUGAUGUUGAAGGGUAUGGAACAAUGGCCAGAGUAGGAGGAAUUUUCGAUUGGGGUGAUAAACUCUCCAUGAUAACCAACCCUAUCCAUAGGAGAAAGCCUCACCUUCUCCCAGAGCUCCCUUCAUCUUUGAGAAAUAACUUGGAAAGUUAUAUACUCGAACUGCAAAAACUAUCCAUGA
rnacentral:misc_RNA from 1 species